rnacentral:rRNA from 1 species
GAUGAACGCUAGCGGCAGGCCUAAUACAUGCAAGACGAACGGUAAGUUGAGUAGCAAUACUUAGCCAAGAGUGUCGUACGGGUGCGUAACACGUAUGCAACCUACCCUAUACAGGAGGAUAGCCUAGGGAAACCUGGAUUAACCCUUCAUAGUAUUAUUGGAUGGCAUCAUUUGAUAAUUAAAACUGAGGUGGUAUAGGAUGGGCAUGCGUCUGAUUAGUUAGUUGGCGGGGUAAUGGCCCACCAAGACGAUGAUCAGUAGGGGUUCUGAGAGGAAGAUCCCCCCACACUGGCACUGAGAUACGGGCCAGACUCCUACGGGAGGCAGCAGUAGGGAAUAUUGGUCAAUGGAUGCAAGUCUGAACCAGCCAUGCCGCGUGCAGGAAGAAGGCCUUCUGGGUUGUAAACUGCUUUUGCCAGGGGAUAAAAUUUCCAUGCGUGGAAAACUGAAGUACCUGGCGAAUAAGCCACGGCUAACUACGUGCCAGCAGCCGCGGU